AGACACAAUAGCAGUAAAACAGUCAUCAUCACUGCUGGGAUGAGAAACCCCUCCUCUUUGCUUUUUUUAACCUUCCUCAGCUGGAAAGUUUUGACAUCUGCUGGUUUGGGACAUGGCUGAGCAGCUGUCAGCAGUGGGGUAGCUGCUCUCAGCAGCAGUUGGCGGGAUGGCAGGGUGCCAGCUUGUACCAUCUGUGCGCCUGACAUUUCAUUCUAAUUAACAGUAGGGUUAAUUGUUCUGGCAGGCUCAAAUGUAGUGUCUAACAUUACCCAAGGGAAACAUGUACAAGUGCAGGAGUGGCAGGGAGCUGGGGACAGCAUCGCUAACAAACCCAUCGAGGGAGAGUGGUUAACAACUACCGAUGAUUUUACUAGCUGGCCACAUGCAAUAAGCUUCCAAGAAAUAGUGAAAUAA
rnacentral:lncRNA from 1 species